rnacentral:pre_miRNA from 1 species
AUGAAGUUUAUUUUGGGUAAGUUGGUCAAUUGACUAAUAGAAUACUGACACGCAGGCGAGUUCUAUGUGUGUAGUAUUUAUUGGCUCAAUUGACCAACUUACAAAAAAAUAACUUCAU